rnacentral:rRNA from 1 species
AUCUAUGGCCCUACCACCCUAAACGCACCCUAUCUUGUCUGGUCUUGGAAGCUUAGCAGGGGCAGGCCUGGUUAGUACUUGGAUCAAAGACAGAUCUUCAGAAAAGACUGCUCAGAGACAAGCAGUUUGGAGA